CCUACGGGUGGCAGCAGUGGGGAAUAUUGCACAAUGGGCGCAACCCUGAUGCAGCGACGCCGCGUGAGUGAAGAAGUAUUUAGGUAUGUAAAGCUCUAUCAGCAGGGCAGAAGAAAGACGGUACCUGACUAAGCAGCCCCGGCUAACUACGUACCAGCAGCCGCGGUAAUACGCAGGAGGCAAGCGUUAUCCGGAUUUCCUGGGUGUAACGGGAGCGUAGACGGGUGUGCAAGUCUGAAGUGAAAGCCCAGGGCUCAACCCUGGGACUGCUUUGGAAACUGUGGAGCUAGAGUGCUGGAGAGGUAAGUGGAAUUCGUAGUGUAGCGGUGAAAUGCGUAGAUAUUAGGAAGAACACCAGUGGCGAAGGCGGCUUACUGGACAGUAACUGACGUUGAGGCUCGAAAGCGUGGGGAGCAAACAGGAUUAGAGACCCUGGUAGUC
rnacentral:rRNA from 1 species